rnacentral:rRNA from 1 species
UACGUGGGGUGCAAGCGUUGUUCGGAAUUAUUGGGCGUAAAGCGCACGUAGGCGGCCGAGUAAGUCUCACUGUGAAAGUCCGGGGCUCAACCUCGGGAUUGCAGGGGAUACUGCACGGCUUGAGACAAGUAGAGGUUGGUAGAAUUCCGGGUGUAGCGGUGGAAUGCGUAGAGAUCCGGAGGAAUACCAGAGGCGAAGGCGGCCAACUGGGCUUGUUCUGACGCUGAGGUGCGAAAGCGUGGGGAGCGAACAGG